GUAUAUUAAAGUUGUUGCAGUUAAAAAGCUCGUAGUUGGAUCUAGGGACGCGCAUUUCAAGCGCCCGUGCCAUCGGGUCAAACCGGUGGCUGCGUUGGCGUUGCGGGCUCGGUCCGUCGGUGCCCCACAAAGGUUAUCGGCGUGUCAACCGGCCCGCCCGUCCCCUCCUUCUGGAUUCCCGUUCCUGCUAUUGAGUUAGUGGGGACGUCACAGGGGGUCCAUCGUCGACGUUUCAACGCGUCGGCGGUGGAUCUCUGGGGCCCAGAUCGUUUACCGUGAAAAAAUUAGAGUGUUCAAAGCAGGCAGAUUCAAUUUUCUGCCACCGAAUACAUUAGCAUGGGAUAAUGGAAUAGGACCCUGUCCUCCUAUUUUCAGUUGGUUUUGGCAGCGCGAGGACUAGGGUAAUGAUUAAUAGGGAUAGUUGGGGGCAUUAAUAUUUAAUUGUCAGAGGUGAAAUUCUUGGAUUUAUGAAAGAUUAACUUCUGCGAAAGCAUCUGCCAAGGAUGUUUUCAUUAAUCAAGAACGAAAGUUAGGGGAUCGAAGACGAUCAGAUACCGUCGUAGUCUUAACCAUAAACGAUGCCGACCAGCGAUUAGGAGACGUUGAAUACAAAACACCACCAUCGGCGCGGUCGUCCUUGGCGCGUUCGUGUUCACGCACGGGCGCGCGAGGGCGGUUUAGCCCGGUGGCACCGGUGAAUGACUCCCCUAGCAGCUUGUGAGAAAUCAUAAGUCUUUGGGUUCCGGGGGGAGUAUGGUCGCAAGGCUGAAACUUAAAGGAAUUGACGGAAGGGCACCACCAGGAGUGGAGCCUGCGGCUUAAUUUGACUCAACACGGGGAAACUUACCAGGUCCGGACAUAGUAAGGAUUGACAGAUUGA
rnacentral:rRNA from 1 species